UACGUAGGUGGCGAGCGUUGUCCGGAAUCACUGGGCGUAAAGGGCGCGUAGGCGGCAAUUCAAGUCGCAAGUGAAAUACCAGGGCUUAACCUUGGGGGGUCUUGCGAAACUGAAUGGCUUGAGUGCAGUAGAGGAAAGCGGAAUUCCUGGUGUAGCGGUAAAAUGCGUAGAGAUCGGGAAGAACACCCGUGGCGAAGGCGGUUCUCUGGGACGGUACUGACGCUGAGACGCGAAAGCGUGGGGAGCGAACAGG
rnacentral:rRNA from 1 species